AGACCAGCCCUGAGACAAUAUGGGAGGGGACUUAUCAAAGUUGUGGAUACCAGGAGUGAGCACAGGGAAGCCAGUUAUGCAAACCACAGCAGACCCUUCCUGUCUCACUUCUAUAUCCAGCAUCCACUGUUAGCCAGUGAAUGGGCCUGUUCCUCAGCCACUCAGACCAAGCACAUGCAGAGAGUAAGAGCUCCAGGAACAUGGGGUUUUUCCCCCAAAAACCUAAAUGGGAAAGACCCACUGUUGAAAUACCCAAAAUACAAGCAUUAAGAGGACCUGUCGAAAGAAGCUAUGGAGUCUACAUUGAUGGAGCUGAAAUAGCUACAUCCUGGGCCUCAAAUUUACUUUGGACAAAAUGGGAGUGGAAUAAAAUAAGUCCAAAGUGCUGCCUGGUCAGCAGGUCUGUUGUGCGUCAUAGUGCUCCUGAAUUGGUUGGCUAUUUUUAUUCCUGUCUGAAACCCAAGGACGGAAAACCCUGAGAGGUUUG